AUUGAACGCUAGCGGGAGGCCUAACACAUGCAAGUCGAACGGAGUGGCGGACGGGUGAGUAAUAUAUCGGAACGUGCCCAAUCGCGGGGGAUAACUACUGGAAACAGUGGCUAAUACCGCAUACCAUUGGAUCGGCCCAGAUGGGCUUAGCUAGUUGGUGGGGUAAAGGCUCACCAAGGCGACGCUCCGUAGCUGGUCUGAGAGGAUGACCAGCCACACUGGGACUGAGACACGGCCCAGACUCCUACGGGAGGCAGCAGUGGGGAAUUUUGGACAAUGGGCGAAAGCCUGAUCCAGCCAUGCCGCGUGUAUGAAGAAGGCCUUCGGGUUGUAAAGUACUUUUGGCAAAGAAGCGGUAUCUGCAGAAGAAGCACCGGCUAACUCCGUGCCAGCAGCCGCGGUAAUAC
rnacentral:rRNA from 1 species